rnacentral:rRNA from 1 species
GAUGAACGCUGGCGGCGUGCCUAAUACAUGCCAGUCGAGCGAACAGAUGAGGAGCUUGCUCCUCUGACGUUAGCGGCGGACGGGUGAGUAACACGUGGAUAACCUACCUAUAAGACUGGGAUAACUUCGGGAAACCGGAGCUAAUACCGGAUAAUAUAUUGAACCGCAUGGUUCAAUAGUGAAAGACGGUUUUGCUGUCACUUAUAGAUGGAUCCGCGCCGCAUUAGCUAGUUGGUAAGGUAACGGCUUACCAAGGCAACGAUGCGUAGCCGACCUGAGAGGGUGAUCGGCCACACUGGAACUGAGACACGGUCCAGACUCCUACGGGAGGCAGCAGUAGGGAAUCUUCCGCAAUGGGCGAAAGCCUGACGGAGCAACGCCGCGUGAGUGAUGAAGGUCUUCGGAUCGUAAAACUCUGUUAUUAGGGAAGAACAAAUGUGUAAGUAACUAUGCACGUCUUGACGGUACCGAAUCAGAAAGCCACGGCUAACUACGU